UCUCAAUAUCUCUUUCUCUCUCUCUGUCCUCCUCAUCUCAUCCUUAUGCUCUCAUCUCUCAUAUCAGUAUCAUCAUCUAGCAAAUUCAAACCAAGAUCAACUCAAAGUUCACAUGCAAGUGUAGAUUUGUAAUCCUUGAAUCUUGGGCUUUCAAGAAAGGAUCAAGGAGCCAUGAUUAAGGGAUUUGGAGUAAUUUAGAAGAAUAUUGGUGACCAUGGCUGGUGAGACAAACAACUGGUUUAUGAAAACAACUGGUUUAUACAAACAGUUGGCUGGAUUGCUGGUUUAUGUAAACUAUUGGAUGCAUGUUGCUCCUAAUGAUAUCAUUCCAUUCUUCUGUUGCUAGCAAAGAAGCAGAAAAGAGUCCUCAAUUUAUCCAUUCAACAUCCAUUCUCGUCCGCUCCCCUCGUGGUACGCCACCAUCCCUCCCAUCUCUUCCAUUUUUUCGCUUCUUCCUCUGCAGAAGAAGCUGCGGCAGAGCGCCGUCGUUACAAGCACUGUCUCCUCUCCCCCUUCUCGCCCGCUCCCCUCGUGGUACCACCACCGUCCCUCUCAUCUCAAUCACAGUCCGUUUUUUUUGUUUCUUCCUCUGCGGCAGAGCGCCGUCGUUACAAGCGUAGUCUCCGUAUCAAACUUCCUUUGAACACAAUUCGUCCUCCACCUCAUCAACAUCAUCUCUCUCUCAUCAAGAUGGCAAAUAUCUGUGUAAGGGAAUGAGUAAUUUCCUUAAGAGAAGGAACAAAUGUGAAACAGUACCAAGUAGAUAAGUAAGGUCUUGGAUGCCACCCUUGAAGAUUUGGAGUUUUGAUAUGUGAUUUCUUGAAUCCAUAAUGGGACAAGAGUGAGUAACAUGAAAUUUGAUUUGAGGGUAGUUUUGUUUCAGUUUCAAUUAUUGCUUUUGACCGUGUAGCUUCUACCGUCAAGUCUGCAGUUGAUAUUCAAACACCGGGUGAUCUUAUAACUCUUACUGCUGCAGCUGCAACAGCUUUGAGAGGAGAAGCAGCUUUGAUAGCGAGAUUUCCAAAAGAAGCAAAGAAGAAUGCAUCAAUAAGUCCCUAUGAUAAGGGAAUAGCAGAAACACAAUGUCCACAUGCUUUUGCUUUUGAGGGUCAGAUGUUAGAAAUUUUUUCUUCAUGUGUGGAUGAUUUGUUGCAGGUUACAGAAAAAGGUGCAUUACGAUGGAAACAUGUGUCUGUUUACAUCAACAAGAAAUAUUAGGUCAAAAUUAAGAUCAAAAGCAAACACAUUGGAGGAGCUUUCUCCAAAAAGAGUAAAUGUGUGGAUUAUGGAGUGUGUAAUGAAGACUCGGCAUGACCAUAUCAAAAAGAAAGGGAAGCUUCUGAAGAGCUCUAUUUUGGCCUCAAAACUGCACAAGGUCUUCUAGAAUUUAAGUCUGAGAGCAAACUCCAAAAGCAAAAAUGGGUUGAUGGGACACUAUGCACUAUUUCGUAUCGUUUGAGAUUGCUCUUCUUUCUCGCUUUCUUUUGGCAUACCUGGCGACGUGAAUGAGUGAACAGGGAGCACACACAAGAUCAAAAGCAAACACAUUGGAGGAGCUUUCUCCAAAAAGAGUAAAUGUGUGGAUUAUGGAGUGUGUAAUGAAGACUCGGCAUGACCAUAUCAAAAAGAAAGGGAAGCUUCUGAAGAGCUCUAUUUUGGCCUCAAAACUGCACAAGAUUGUGUUAGAGACUUAAAUCUGUGAAAUUGAGCUAUAACAUGGUCAUGUCUGUUAUUCAACUUUGUUAUCCUGAGAGAUUCAGAUUUGCUGGUGAGACUUCAUUUGGAAAAAGACACUUGAGUUUCUGGACUAAAAAACCUGUCCUAAUUUGGAUUGUUUGUUUCUUCAGGCAAUUUGUAAGGUCAGUUCCUGAAGUGGAUUACUUGACCUUAAUGCAUGGAUUUAUUAUGGGAUGAGGGAGUGCAUUGCGGAAUACAGGAUGAUCUUUAUCUUUCUAGAAGCACCGUGGUGUAUUUUAAGCCCAAUGACAUGGAUUCUUUACAAGAAACUUUAGAGAACAUUACUUCUAAAUAUAAGCACACCAAGAAUUUGAGUCGUUAUAUUGUUGUUGAAGCUCUCUACCAGUGUGCUGCAGGUUAGAAAUUAGAUCUUAUAACUGCUGCUAUAGGACAUGCAUUGGCCACAGAAGGAAGAUUCUGCACCAGAAGUGCGAGAGUUACAAAUCACCAACGAUUGAGUAGCUCUGGCUACGUCUUUUCUGCUUCUUUGCCUCCAUAUCUCGCAAGUGCUGCAAUUACAGCUAUUGAUGUCCUCAAGGAAAAUCCCAGUCUGUUAACAAAGUUGAAGAAAAGCGUCGCUGUCUUACGGAAAGGUUUGUGCAGAAGUUGGUCAAUCCAGUAUAAAAACAGAAUUUUCUCAAGAAGAUGCAGAAUCUGAGUUUCUUAAUUACUCUAAAAAGUUGCUUCUGAAUUCUAUUGAUAAGGUUGAGAGGCUCUUUCAUAAGAAUUGGUGAAACUUUCACACAUUGAUGUCUAUGAAGUGAAGAAAAAAUUAGGAAAUUCUUGAAGCAUAGUUGAAGUUAAAGAGAGUUUUUAUCUGACAUUAGAAGUAGUGAUUUAGAGGUGAGGUAGAAAAGAAAUUUGGAUGAAAUCCUCUUCUAAUGAUAUUUCCAAUAUUCCAAUUGAUUCAUCGUAGGGUUUUGUACUCUCUCUUACAGUUACAAUGUACAAGAAGAAUGUUUCAUCAAAUUGUAUAGUGAUUUCCUUACUCGAAUUUAUUGGUUUUGGAAUUCAUGAUGAUGCUUUCUUUGAUAGGAUAUAUGAUAUAUGACUCUAUUAUUCAAAAGCAAGUUUUGCAAAUUAAUUGACUCACUUUUUUGAAUCAA